GACUGAGAAUAGGCCAACAUCUAUUUUUUAUACCCAAAUAAUAACGAGCUCACGAUUAAAACUGACUAACUGUGCUGGAUAUCUGAACUACCCUGUGUUUUAUACGAGUGAAAUUAGAUACACGGCCUACUUGAUAAGAGAUGAAAUUCAACAAAAAUAAUUUAAAUCUUCCAAUCAAAACAGGCCGUGAAAAACCAUAUACAACGUUGAUACUUUCUAGAUUUCAGUAAGGUGAUGUACACUGUUGAGUUCACACGGCUUCGCUUGGGGAUUUCCGACAAGCGUUCUGUCGCUGUCGCCGAGUGUGGUUUGGUGGAAGGCGCGCACAAGAAUUGUGCGUCUCGAGUUCAGUCGUUGUUACAACUCGAGUGCGACCGAACUCGCUGCGCUAAUUAUUGAUCAAGAAAAUAAUACACGUUAUACACCAAUCA